GGGUUGCGGACAGUGUCUGGUGGGUAGUUUGACUGGGGCGGUCUCCUCCUAAAGAGUAACGGAGGAGCACGAAGGUCAGCUAAUCCUGGUCGGACAUCAGGAGGUUAGUGCAAUGGCAUAAGCUGGCUUGACUGCGAGCGUGACGGCGCGAGCAGGUGCGAAAGCAGGUCAUAGUGAUCCGGUGGUUCUGAAUGGAAGGGCCAUCGCUCAACGGAUAAAAGGUACUCCGGGGAUAACAGGCUGAUACCGCCCAAGAGUUCAUAUCGACGGCGGUGUUUGGCACCUCGAUGUCGGCUCAUCACAUCCUGGGGCUGAAGUAGGUCCCAAGGGUAUGGCUGUUCGCCAUUUAAAGUGGUACGCGAGCUGGGUUUAGAACGUCGUGAGACAGUUCGGUCCCUAUCUGCCGUGGGCGCUGGAGAAUUGAGGGGGGCUGCUCCUAGUACGAGAGGACCGGAGUGGACGCAUCACUGGUGUUCGGGUUGUCAUGCCAAUGGCAUUGCCCGGUAGCUAAAUGCGGAAGAGAUAAGUGCUGAAAGCAUCUAAGCACGAAACUUGCCCCGAGAUGAGUUCUCCCUGACUCCUUGAGAGUCCUGAAGGAACGUUGAAGACGACGACGUUGAUAGGCCGGGUGUGUAAGCGCAGCGAUGCGUUGAGCUAACCGGUACUAAUGAACCGUGAGGCUUAACCUU
rnacentral:rRNA from 2 species